rnacentral:tRNA from 3 species
GCCCCUAUAGUCUAGUGGCCCAGGACAUCUCUCUUUCAAGGAGGCAGCGGGGAUUCGACUUCCCCUAGGGGUA